GGGGAGCGUCUAAACGAGGAGCGAUUAGAAGCUAGACGCUUCGGCCUAUGGUUUCAAGAGCUGAUGGAGUGUGAUUCAGGGUACUCGUCAGCUGACUCGUCAGCUAUCUCGUUAUAGGCGUACCGCGAUUAGUACGAGAUAUACAAACGGGCGGGGGAAGAACGCGCAAUACACAGGGGAACGAGGCUUUCGGGG